rnacentral:rRNA from 1 species
UUACAAAGAAGAGUUUGAUCCUGGCUCAGGAUGAACGCUAGCGGCAGGCCUAAUACAUGCAAGUCGAACGGUAAAUAUCCUUUCGGGGAUAUGAGAGUGGCGCA